AACUUUCAACAACGGAUCUCUUGGCUCUCGCAUCGAUGAAGAACGUAGCGAAUUACGAUAUGUAAUGUGAAUUGCAGAAUUCAGUGAAUCAUCGAAUCUUUGAACGCACCUUGCGCUCUUUGGUAUUCCGAAGAGCAUGCCUGUUUGAGUGUCAUG
rnacentral:rRNA from 1 species